CAGAUCACUUUGAGGAGAAGAUUUCAUUUACAUUGAAAUUAUUAUCGUGCAAUUCGAUAUGGUUUGA
rnacentral:tRNA from 1 species